CUCAGACGAAGAAACAGGCCGAGAACACGAUUUCUAAUCGAAAUUUCCAGUUCAACAAUGGAACUAUGAAGAUCUUCAACAACAACAGAAAUAAAGAAGAUAACAACUAAUCGUCAUUCACAGAACAACUUUGGGUACUGGAAUCUGUACCUGGAGAUGUAAAUCCUGAAGAGAGUGAUGGAGAAGUUGAGAAGGUUUUCCAGACCUUGCAAAGUUUACCCUCAGAAAUCCCAUCAAGAAAGUGGCUUGUAGAUUACAUGAUGGAGCUUGGGUUCUUCAAAUCACUUUCCCAGUGGGUUGGCAAUAACCUUAUGAAAUCUGGGGACCAUGAAACAUGGGCUUUUGAUCUCCAAGGUGCUGUUGA